rnacentral:rRNA from 1 species
GAGCAGAGGAUGCAAGCGUUAUCCGGAAUGAUUGGGCGUAAAGCGUCUGUAGGUGGCUUUUUAAGUCCGCCGUCAAAUCCCAGGGCCUCAACCCUGGACAGGCGGUGGAAACUACCAAGCUGGAGUACGGUAGGGGCAGGAGGGAAUUUCCGGUGGAGCGGUGAAAUGACGCAGAUAUCAGGAGGAACACCGGUGGCGAAGGCGGGUCUCUGGGCCGAUACUGACGCUGAGGAGCGAAAGCGUGGGGAGCGAACAGG